CAGCAGCCGCGGGAAUACGAGGGGGGCAAGCGUUGUUCGGAAUUAUUGGGCGUAAAGGGCGCGUAGGCGGUUUGGCAAGUUUGGUGUGAAAUCUUCGGGCUCAACUCGAAGUCUGCAUCGAAAACUGCCGGGCUUGAGUAUGGGAGAGGUGAGUGGAAUUUCCGGUGUAGCGGUGAAAUGCGUAGAUAUCGGAAGGAACACCUGUGGCGAAAGCGGCUCACUGGACCAUUACUGACGCUGAGGCGCGAAAGCUAGGGGAGCAAACAGGAUUAGAUACCCCUGUAGUCCCUGUCUCUUAUAC
rnacentral:rRNA from 1 species